AUUAUCGAAAGUCAACCCCGAAGAAUUUGUGAUAGAUGAUUUAUUUUUGUGGAAGUGAUUAGUAUUUUCUAUAAUUUGAGAAAAACACUGGUUGCAUACCUAGGUAGUUACAUAUUUGUAUUUACUUAUUUAUAGAUUUAGAACCUUAUCCAAUAAACUAAAACAGUAACUAUUUCUAAAAUCAUUCUCUAUAAGCUAAGAGGAAAAAAAAACACUUGUCAAACAACCAAAUGGACACUACACAAAUUAUCAAAUGUGUACAACACUGUGUUGCAUGUUUUAUUGAAAAUUAAACAUUUUCAAAACGUUUGUAUUCAUACACAUAAUAAUGUUUAUCCCUGUGUCAGUGCAGUUUUGCAAUAUGAAUAUUUACGUAUGUGCAAAUGUACGUACAUAUAUGUGUGUAUUUACACAAAAAUAUUGAUAUUAACGAAUGUAAAUGUUUUUACGUACAUACAUACGUACAUAUGUUAGUACAUACAUACGUACAUAUGUUAGUACAUAUGUACAUACAUGUUAUAUCUGUAGUCACCAAAAGUGUCUUGUGUUAUAAGCACAAUAGUUAAUCACUAUCAAACUAGCGAGCACCGGAUGAACAGGGAGGAACAGGGCAGGGAAAUUGAUCACAGAUGAUCACAAAAUUGCAAUCUAUUUAAAAUUAUUUAUCUAUUGAAAUUAUGCAGUUGAAGUUCUCAAUUAAUAUAAAUGUCAAUAAACCCAAUUUACAUAUUAUUUGAUCAAAUGGAAAUAUAAGCCUUAAGGGGAAUUAGCAAUCGUAAACUAUUAGCUUGAAAUGCUUGAAAAUCUUGUAAGCUUUGGUUGUUUUUUUUGUUCGAUUAAUUGGUAGGAUUACUGUAUGUAUUAUAUCUGUAUGAAUGUAUGUGUAUGUAAGUAUUAUUGUAUUUAUUUAUGUACAUAUGAACAUACAUAUAAAUGAAUGUCAAUGUCAGUUGUUACAUCCACAUGAUUUUAUAACAAGUAUGACACGUUAACUACUGAGGCUGUCUACUUUGUCUGCUGAUUGCUGAGAAUUACCUUAUUCGACUCCACUGCGAUCUCAUCAUUCACGGUACUAGAACAGUUAAGGGGUAUAUUCGAUUUGUGGUCGAAACGAUGUGCGUGAUACACCGAAGGAAGCACAUGUACAUAUGUAUUUAUUCUGGAUCAGCAUCAUUAGUCCGUCUUGUUUGUUGCCUAGUUCUCAGAGACUAUAACCACUAAGAAAACAACGCAUAGGCUGUAGGCUGUAAAUCGACUAAAGGCUUGACUGUAUUAAAAGUCUGUCCGAUUGGCUCCCAGGGCCUUCGGGUCUUGUUGCUGAUGGCUUCGACUGAGAGUUUGGCUCUCCUCGCAUUGUUCGGUGUUUAAACGUGUAAGAACAAUUAGCGAAUUUAAAAUGAGAUGUCAUAUCAUCUUGUAUUUAUACCAGGUACUCUAAGAGUAAAUAGGGUAUAGGGUAUAUUGCAUUUAUAGUCGGAGCAAAGUGCAUAACGCACAGAUGAAAUCUCUGAUUUCAGCAGCCGUCCAAUACUUGCUCAUUGUCUCGCGCUCGCACUCUCUGCCUCGUGCAGAGAGGAGGGGCGAGCUAAAAGGCCGUGUUGGUGUAAGACGUGAUGUAGAUGUAGAAAAAAUGUAAAAUUUUAAAUUUGAUAAAGAUUAUAAGGUGACAUAUGUACAUAUAUAUGUAUAACACUAAGGUGACAGGUAAUGACUGAGUACCGGGUAUAAAAGUUGUGACGCGUGCAAACGCGCCUCGCCUCGUUCUUCCUCGUUAAAUGUGCGUAUAUUGGUGCACACAUUCAAAUACGAAACCACCUAAAAGCGAAUAAUUAACGAGUUUAAGUUUCGGUGCUGAUCCAGGGUGUCAUCAUUACAUCGGCUCCCCUUUCGAGGAUAAUACUCUUGUCAGUAUGCAUGAAAACAACAACAUACGAAGAGUCGAUGGUCUUCAACGCAGCGGACGGCGUCAUCUAAUUUAACUUGCUAUGGCAGUGCGGCAAAAAAAGUGUGAGAACCGGACAACCGCCAGACAUUUUAUUUCGCCAGUUUUGAGUUUGCUUGGUACUAGUACUCAGGUCCGGAAAAAGUGUACUCUAGCAAAAUCCGGGAUGAUAUUCUUAUAAAACCUUAAAGAAAUUUUUUCGAGCGCAAACUGCCAUAGAAAAUAGUUUUCGAUUGGCACUAGCAACUCGAAAAAUAUAGAAUUUUUUCUCUAUUCCGUCAGGGUUCCUUGCAAAAAAACGAUGUAAACAUUCUAAAAUGGAGAGAAAGCUAGGAUGCACGUUGUGAGACGCGUCGUACGUGUCGCAAUUUUUAUACCCGGUACUCAGUCAGUAUAUACAUACAUAUGUACACAUGCAUACGCAUGUGUGUAUGCAUGUGACCUUAUGUUUUUUUUCUAAUUGUACUUUUUACAUUUUUUCUACAUAUGCCAUCUACAUCUACAUCACUUCUCAAACCACACCACCAUUUUAGCUCCCCUCCAUCAGAGCAUCACACUGCACGAGGCCAAGUGUGCGAGCCAGACAUAAUGAAGCAGUCUCUCUACUGUAUGGUUAGUGACUUGGCACACAGCAACGAUAUUUUUUGGCACAACUGAUUUUAAAUGAUCUCCACGAAAUUCUUUCUGCAACGAAGGAUAUCCACGAUUAAAUUCCUGAUAACGUGUUUUACAUUGGCAGUGCAUGGUGCUUCAUCAAUCCAAGUUGCACGAAGCUUAUCAAAUCAUUAUUAGCUUAAAGAUCAACCGAAAAUAUGGUAGAAAUGUUCUACUAGAAAAUCAUGAACAAUAGGUUUUCAUGUGCUAAUUUCAUUUUAUUUUUCUUAAAAUAAUUUUUAGUUAAUCGAACGUGACCGUACAAGAAAAAGUUAAAUAAAGGCUUAUACCAGAAAACAACAGACUUUUUAAUGUAAAUUAUUACUGGGUCCAUGCUAAAAGUUCCAAGGUAACUCAACCAGAAACUUAAUCGAAUAAGAAGUUGUCAGGUGAGGAGAAAACGAGAAAAAAAGCAUAUGGAAAACACGUUGUUUGCAUCCACAUAUGGGCAUUUCAAUGGCGAGGUCUAAGCUCACGUAGGCCAGAAAAUAAUUGUAACUCUAUAAAGCCUUCUAGUUUAUAUCCAUGCGACAGACGCUUACAUAACAUUUGUAGAAAGAAGGAACGCUGUGAGAAGCUACUAAUGCAGAGUAAAUACUUUUGUACCCGGUACUCGGAACGGCAUACAGUCAAACACACAGUACAUACAAGCACGAUAAUGAAAACAACUGUGCUGGGUUCCAGGCCUUUCAUCUUUAUAUUAUAAAGUCGUCAUUAGUCGUAUAUUAGUCGUCAAACAAGACGGACAGAAAGACAUGGAUAUAUGAAUAUCGACUCGGCUGUUGAUGCUGAUCGAGGAUAUACCAAUAUAAAUAUGUACUUUAUGGGCUCGGAAACGCUUAGUUCUGUUACAUCACUUCAAUCACAAAACUAAUAUACAGGUACAGGUUCCAAAAAAGUUGAAGAAAGUCGAUUGAUAAAGAAUUGCAGAAACUAAUUGGAGUUCGGAUAUGGUUGCCACAGAAAUCGCUCGAGAAAUGGGAAUUAGCAAAACAAUUUGGCGUUGCCACAGGGUUCCGAGGGAGUUAAUUUUCUAGUUGAGAACUUAGUUAGUGUGGUGUUUAUUUAGUCUCGGUUUUGGUUUGGUUUUGAAUUAUUAGCGUAAAAGAAAAUGAAGAUUUGAUUUUAAAAGCUUUACUUUUAUAAUUUCAAAACAAAAAACAAAAGCAAAUAGAAUAGAAACCUUGCAAAACUGGCAUCUCAGAUGCGCCUCGGUCUUGCUUUCCCAAUCAGACGAUGCGUAUUAGAGUCCUACACGAAUCCAUUUAAAACAGGAAACGUAUCACAGCUUUCCAACUUUUCGAGCUCCGUUUUCUUAUUUGUGAUGAUGAGAACCAAGAACAAUUUGGUGUUGGCGAUAACAUUCGAAUGGCAUUUUUCGCUGAACAAAAAAUCAGAAAUAAGGAUGCUGUAACUCGACUAAGAGAUUUUCUGCAUUUAGACAUACAUAUGCCUAUACAUAUAUACAUAUGUAUAUACAUAUACAUAUUGAAAAUGUAUAAAAUAUAUUUAAAAAGUGUAAUUUUAUCAAAAUAUGUAUGUAUGUACAUAAGUACUUUUUACUUGCAUCCUAUUAUAAAAUACCUGCUGUACGGAUAUACAAACUAAUUUGAGUUGAGGUCUUAAAAACUAUGAAAUGACCGAGGAACGAAUACAAUUUUUUAAUUUUCGUCCUUUAUGUAUGUUUUCAGGUUCAACGAUUGAACUCCCGGACACGGAAACUACAAAUGUGAAUUUAUGAUUUAAAAAAACACAAAAAAAAAAUCCGUCCACUGAUCCAUCAAAAGACGAUUACAAUUUGCUGAACGUUUUCGCAUACAGCGAACAAAAUGAUAAAAUGCUGGAACUAUUAUCUGCUUUUAUUUUUCUGUGUGUGGAAAAAUGUUGCCACUUUAACCGAUGACACACAAAAAGAAUCUGUCGUUUCAAAUCGCUACAAUACGUACAAAUACAAGCCGCAAACAAACUUAGCCCCACAACACUUAUCCAAUAAGGCUUCGCCAAGCUCGUAUGUUCAACAUGAACCCCAUUUGCAUACAGUUGAAUCAUCGGUAACAACUCAAAAAUCAUCUUCUGUGGGACUACAAGUCUCUAAUAAUGCUGCAUUCCAUACUGGAAGUGGUAGUGGAUAUUCGACUCAUUUAGAUCCACAUUUGCAUAGGAGUUCAUACAAUCUCUUAAGUGAAGCCAUGUCGCAGGCUGUCAGCAAUGAAUUCAGUAAGUUGGUAACAAUUAGUAAAUAUUUAUAAAAAAAUGCAUUUAUCUCAAACACAUUUUAGAGCUAAUUUGCUAUUUAUUUUUGCUAUAAACUAAACCGAAAAGAGGAAAUUUUGCUUAUUUAUGUAUAUAGAUUUGCUUGUACUUGUCUUUAAAAUACUAAUAGUUUUUGCCUCUUAACAGAUUCAGUUGGAAGUGGCUCUGCAGAUGGAGCAUGUAACCCAGAAGAAAUUGACUGCUAUAAUGGAAAUGUUCAGGAUCGUUUUGGCAUGGAAGCAAUUGCAAGCUUGCAUCGUCAACUUGAUGAUGAUGAUAAUGGAAACAUUGAUUUGAGUGAAUCAGAUGAUGUAUGUUCUAUGCUUUUAUGAAAAAUCAUUCAAAAUUUGAUUGUUACUAUAUAAUAAGUCUUUUUUUUUUAACAAUAAUUCCACUAGCACCACUUUCCAAUUCGUGGACGAAGGGGUUCUACUGAAAUGCUAAAUCCAACUGAGGUGUAUAUAUUACGUGACUGGCAAUAUUCUGGCGACACAUGUGAUUUUCGAUUUCCAAUCAGUACAAUAUUCCUCCCGAAAAUCGGCUAGAAUCUGGCAUUUCUAUACCUGGUACUCAAAGAUUUAAAGGUGUAUAUUGUGUUUGUGCUCGAAAGUGGAUGUACUCAGAAGGAAACGUUUCCGAGCCGAACAUCAAUAGCCGAGUCUAUGUCUGUGUGUAUGUCUGUCCGUCUUGUUUGUCGCCUUGUUUUCAAGAACUAUAGGAACCCAAUUGUAUUCGAAGACCCAUGUGAUAGCACACUGAAUUUUUUUUCAAAGGUAUAAACUCUGACAUCCACACUGAACAUACAUUUUAUUUAUGUAUAUACUUACGUACAUACUGACUGAGUUACGAGAAUAAAAUAUGACGAGUCUCACAACGUUCCUCCUCAUUUUCCAUAGAUGUAUACAUAUGUACAUAUAACUUUAAAUAUUUCGAAAAAUAUACAUAUGUAUAGAUAUAAGUAUUUCAUUUAACAGUUAAAUGGCCGAAGAUUUUUUAAAAAUUGUUUUUGAAACGUUUAUUUUUUCUUUCUUUUUCUUUUAGUUUUUGCGGGAAGAACUGAAGUAUGACUCAGGCUAUGAAAAACGGCAAAGGGCGUUUCAUUUUAAUGAUGACAUGCAUAUAUCAGUCAAAGAGUUGUGGGAAGCUUGGCUAAGAUCAGAGGUUCAUAACUGGACUAUUGAACAGACUACAGACUGGUUGGCUCAGUCUGUGCAGCUCCCACAAUAUGUAGAACUCUUCAAAUUGCAUAAAGUUACUGGUGCUUCUUUGCCAAGGUAUGUCGUAAAAAUAUAGAAAAUAAGAAAAAAGUUAUGGUCAUUGUUAAGACAAGAAGAAACGUUGUGAGACACUAUCAACAAAGCAUCACUACCUGUAUCCCAUGUACUCAGUCAGUACAUGUACAUAUGUAUAUGUACAUAUUACAUAUGAUUUUAGUCGAAUUUUAAAUAUUUUAUCUGUUUACUUUUUUUUGCUACUCGUGCCAUCUACAUCACCUCUGAUUUGUGGGGGGAAGGGGGCCCGGCCAAUUUCAGAAAUAACAGUAACAGUAUGUAUGCAAAAUUUUUGUUGAUUCGGCUUUUAUAGUCCUGGUACUAGGUGUUCAUCAAGACGGGCUGGUACUAGGUCCUGGUACUAGGUGUUCAUCUAGACGGGCUGACGAAAAGACAGACAGACAGUCAUUGGCUCGGCUAUUGACUAUUGAAUCAAGAAUACAUACAUAUAUACAUAUACAUAUUUCAUAGUUUUGGUAGCAUGCUUCAUUGUGAUUGCCAAAUUGAACGGGCUUCAACUCGGAUUGAGACAGGGGAUGAACCAGAGCUGUGGGCGUGAAUAAAAUAUAUAAACUAGCAUUCAAUGUUAGGAGAGUUUAUUCCGACUAAUAAAUACUACAAUGCAUGUAUGUCAGGCAAUUGUAAUUAAUAGAUUCAACUCAUUUAUCUUUAACUAAAUUUUUAAAAUGUAUUCGAAAAUAGAUAGCGAUAGAUGGCAUAUUUAACUAAAAUAAACACAGGUAAACAGUAUAAACUUAAACUUCAACUAAUUCAUCCUUAGCUUAAUGCUUAAUGUUUAUUCGCCAAAGAGAAUAAUAUUUAACUCAAAAAUUAAAGUUUCCAAAGAAUAAACAUAUCAACGGUAUGUUUAAACUUAAACAUAUUUUCAGUUAGUAAAUAUCUUAAAAUCAUAUGCACAUUUUUGUAAUAGCUAUUUUUUUUGCUUAUAGGUUAGCUGUGAAUAACUUGCAGUAUGUCGGCAAUGUGCUUGGCAUCAAAGACCCCAUUCAUAAGCAAAAAAUAUCACUAAAAGCAAUGGAUGUAGUGCUCUUCGGUCCUCCACGAGGUAAGAAAACAACACUGCAACGAACUGAAAACUUUUAAAUGUAUUUUGCAAGGCACAAAAAACUGUUUGUGUGAGACGAAGCACACAAUCUUUUUUAAAGACCCAACAAAGAAAAAAAAUGCUUUGUUAUCCAUAGUUAUACAUUUAUACAUUUUAUAGAAACCGGUACACGUUGGAAGGACUAUAUAUUGGUGACUCUGUUGUUAAGCGCUAUUAUUGGCUGUUGGUAUGCUUACCAGCAAAAUAAAAAUGCCAAGCGUCACCUACGUCGUAUGGCUCAGGAUAUGGAAGGAUUGCAGAAAGCCGAACAAAGUCUACAGGAGAUGCAGAAGGUUUGUUGGUUUGAUAAAAAUAAUUUUAAAUAAUUGUUGAAUAUUGUAGGAACUAGAGCGUGCUAGAAUGGAACAGGAAAAUGUGGCAACGGAAAAAAUGGACCUAGAACGGCGUCUUAAAGAGGCCCCCUCUCUUAGCUCAUCAAACUCAGACCUAGAGGUGUUGCAGUUGAAAAAAGAAGUGGAAAUGUUGCGAAAUGAAUUGUCGCGGGCCGAAUUCGAGUUGGUUGAUAAUUGCUGGGCCCCACCUCCGCAACUUCAAUCGUGGUUGCAAUACACAUAUGAACUAGAAAGUAAGAACCAUCAGAAGAAGCGCGCAUCUGCAGAGAAGCAGCUUCAGUCAGCAAGAGAGGCUUGUGAAAAAUUGCGUAAGAAGCGUUCGAGUUUGGUAGGAGCGUUUGUGUCUACCCACGGAAAAAGUAUUGAUGACGUUGAUCGUUCUAUUGUUGAGGCCCGCAAUGCUCUAGGAGAAGUAACAAAUGAACUACAAGAGCGAUUGCAUCGCUGGAAACAAAUUGAAACGUGCCUUGGAAUAAAUAUCGUAAAUAACAAUGGGUUGUCAUGUUUGGAAAAUGUGCUGUAUGGUCGCAAUGGUGGUUUCCAAAGUUCGAUUGGAGGAAGUGGUUCAAAAGGCUCAAGAAGUAAGCAUUUAUCUGUUUUUAAUAUUGUUUGGUACAAGUCGAAAUUUACCAUGAAUAUUCUUUGUCUGUUUAAAAAGCACGAAUUACUAGCAGUACUGAUGACCUAGAUGACGAGUCUGUGCAAGGUAAGCUGAACUUUGAGAACUUUUCGCUGCUCGCAACGGAAUAAACCUGCUGCGUCCGAUUGCACAACACAACUCAUCAAUAAAUACAAACAAACUGACAACUUACAGACAGUAAAAAACAGAGCUCGAUUGCUUUUUACUUAUUGAGUCUCAAUGAAAUUGUUGAAAAAUAAGAGAUUCUAUGUGUGUUUAUCAUUCAUGUAUUAAUGAUUAUGUAUAAAAUUGUAAUAUAGAUUUGUAUCUUAUAAUUGAUGAAGCUAAUAUUGCAUCCAUUAUGUUAUAUGAAGAUAUUUUUCAAAAACAAGCACAAAUGACGUGAUAUACUUUGAAAAUAUGCACGUAUUGAAUGUACUUAUAAAUAAUUUACAAUAAUCGUAGUGUGUUAAAUAAAUUAAACGCUAAUCUUUUUUAAUGGCUUGCCGCUACCUUCAGAACUUUUUAUUACUUUGCAGAGAGAAUACAUCUUAAAAUAUGCCAUUCAGUUAAAUUGUAAUAGUUGAUUGUCUUCCUAAAUUUAAUACAUUUACAUCAAUGUAUACUAAAAUGUAUAAAAUUAUUGUUAAAAUAUGUGUUAACUUUUUCUCUGACACUUAACCUACAGAACUGAACCAGACAAAUUGCUCAUAUUGGACGGAACUUUUCUAAAUGUUGACGUUCCCAAGACAGGAAAAGUCGAAAUAAACUAGUUUAUUUUUGUUUAUAUAUUAUUCGUAUAGGCUCGUUUAUAUAGAGGAUUCUUUGGAUGGAGGAACAAUAUUUAAAAGUCCCUUUCGUUUAUUUGUAUAAAAUUUUGACACAUUUGCCUGUAACGUACCGAAUGGGAUAUAAAUUAGAAAUGCGUUUUUAGUUUUGGCCAAAUAGCUUUAGCUUAGCCAUUUAUUCAAAUAUAUAAACGAUGCCUUUAAUGACACUCAAUUGACAUGGUUAUACGUAUAAAGUAUAAAACAAAAACAAAUAAUUUAUUUCGAUGAUUCUUGAGUUUUCAAAGUAGAAAUUUGAAAGCGUAAUAUAUCCCAGUUUUUGUUUUGGUUGUUCCAUAGAGUAUUCUUUUCCUGUGAACAAUUUAAAAAAUAUGUGAAUUAAGCGAAUGAUAUCGAAAUGUAUAAUUAAAAAAAUAUUUUGCAAGGGAUUUCAAUAAAAAAGAAAUUAAUACCUAAAUAUCAUUUUAUAUCUUAUAUCUUUAAUCCGAAAAAAACGAUCUCCUUUUUAUACCCGGUACUAGAAGAGCUAUUUGAGAUUUGUGGUUAUAGAUUUAUAAUCGAAGCGGUGUGCGUUUCCGAAUCCUUAAAGAAAUAAUGUUCUUGAUCAGAAUCAAUAGGCGAAUAGAUACAGCCGGUCUGACUUUUCGUAUUGUUUGCCGCCAAGUUCUCAGAGACUAUAAGAGCUAGAGUCUCCAAGUUAUGUUUGAUAUGUGAUAUCACAUUUAAUUACGUUUUUUCAGAAUUUUGCGCCCUAUUCGCCUCCACAGAAGACGAAAAUCUUCAUGCUUUUGUUCUAAGGGAGAACUUUACUUAAAGAAUAUUCAACAAAUUGAUAUUUUUUGGAAACUCAGGAAAAGUCGAAAAAAAUUAUAUCCUGGGUCCUUUAUUUUGUAUGUGUAUAAGGGCAUUCAUUCGGCAUCGUUUAAGGCAUUGAUCAUUAAAAAAUAUGGAUAAAUGGCAGAGCUAAAAUUAGUUGACCAACCCUCCGAACCCUUCAUGUUUUGAGGAGAUGCUAUUUUACACCCCACUUCGGCCCUUUAAGCCUAGUAUUCAUCCGAAAACAGGUUUGCUAGCAAAAUGUGCAAUAUAUUUUGGUAGCGGCAGUGUGUGACCAGAAGUAGAAGUGUUAACUGCAUUCCGUACGGUUACACUUCUCAGGCAGCUGUGUUGUUUUGUUUACUUUGUGAACAUUUGUGAAAAGUGAAUAAAAAGUAAAGAAAACAUUCAAUAAGAAAUGGAUCCAAGCAGGAGACUACUUUUGGUGGGAUUGGCGGCCCUUGUAAUAGCGGACGAGAAGGAGAAUCAACCCAUAUACUCAUACCUGCUGGAAAGAAACAAGAAGAUUCGUGUUUCUAUAGUUGUGAGUAAUAUUAAUCAUAUUGAAAUGCUUGCAAAUACAUCUAAAAAUACUCUUUAUACAUUUUGUAGUUGGAAAGCGUGACUCAAAGGCCAUUAGAAUUCAUUUAGAAUUUGCAUAUCUCUGAGGCGAACUUCAGCCGCUUUUUUGGACUGGUAAAGCAGUACUUGGUCCUCAAACGGAAUACUUGGGCAUUGUUCUAAAGUGAAUAUUGUAUAUGUCCAUGCACUUAUACAUAGUAAAUCGUUUCUUUGAUUAGAUUUCUUGUGUCCGGUAACUUGCAGCGCCACGUGUGCAGAGCAUAUCGGAUCAGCAAACAACAAUUCGGCGUGAUAAUUAUACAUUUGCAUUUCCCUGUCCAAUGAAUUUCCCAAAUUGAGCACAGACAACAUGUUAAAGUGGGCUAAGGCUUCGAAAAGGAAGGGAACUUUUCGAACUGUGUGUGAGCCGUUGCCGGAAAACAUUUGGCAAUAAAGCGGGAGCUGUUUUUGUAUGUAUGUCGCUUAUUUAUUUUGUUUAACAUUUAAUAUAAGUGACUCCCUUCAGGGCUGCCACUGCGCUUAUGACGAUCUGCGACGCCCAGUAUAUGUUCACCUAUGUACAUAAAGGUUGCCGCCUAUGGAAGUGAGGGCCUUCCUACGCUGCUAGCUUGGUAUCUUUGCGCCGAUGGGUGGCUGUGCAGCGUACCCUAUUUACCCGACAAGAAAAGUCUCAAACAAUUGUUGCUGCUUGUUUUCGGCCACAAAAUUUAUUAAUGCGCACGAGCCCCAAUACAUACGUACAUUUACCAUACAUUGAGAUUCAUUAAUUCAACACUGUAUAGUCCGAUCCCCUCCCCUGUUGCAUCAAUCGCCCUCAGCACUAUUGACAGGCCUUUAGAAACAACUUAAAAAUUCGAAGUAAUUAAACAAAUAAAUGCAUAUAUAUUUAAUUUAUUUACUUCUCCAUUCUUUGCAUUUUUGAUGGCUUCGAUCUGCUUAAAAUGGAUCUCUUUCUCAGUGGCCGAAGUGCUCUUCUCCAUGGUCCUCUUC
rnacentral:lncRNA from 1 species